GAUGAACGCUAGCGGGAGGCCUAACACAUGCAAGCCGAGCGGUAUUUGUUCUUCGGAACAGAGAGAGCGGCGCACGGGUGCGGAACACGUGUGCAACCUGCCUUUAUCUGGGGGAUAGCCUUUCGAAAGGAAGAUUAAUACCCCAUAAUAUAUUGAGUGGCAUCAUUUGAUAUUGAAAACUCCGGUGGAUAGAGAUGGGCACGCGCAAGAUUAGAUAGUUGGUGAGGUAACGGCUCACCAAGUCAAUGAUCUUUAGGGGGCCUGAGAGGGUGAUCCCCCACACUGGUACUGAGACACGGACCAGACUCCUACGGGAGGCAGCAGUGAGGAAGAUUGGACAAUGGGUUAGCGCCUGAUCCAGCCAUCCCGCGUGAAGGACGACGGCCCUAUGGGUUGUAAACUUCUUUUGUAUAGGGAUAAACCUACUCUCGUGAGAGUAGCUGAAGGUACUAUACGAAUAAGCACCGGCUAACUCCGUG
rnacentral:rRNA from 1 species